rnacentral:rRNA from 1 species
ACGAACGCUGGCGGCGUGCUUAACACAUGCAAGUCGCACGGAAAGGCCCUGCUUUUGUGGGGUGCUCGAGUGGCGAACGGGUGAGUAACACGUGAGUAACCUGCCCUUGACUUUGGGAUAACUUCAGGAAACUGGGGCUAAUACCGGAUAGGAGCUCCUGCUGCAUGGUGGGGGUUGGAGAGUUUCGGCGGUUGGGGAUGGACUCGCGGCUUAUCAGCUUGUUGGUGGGGUAGUGGCUUACCAAGGCUUUGACGGGUAGCCGGCCUGAGAGGGUGACCGGCCACAUUGGGACUGAGAUACGGCCCAGACUCCUACGGGAGGCAGCAGUGGGGAAUAUUGCACAAUGGGCGGAAGCCUGAUGCAGCAACGCCGCGUGCGGGAUGACGGCCUUCGGGUUGUAAACCGCUUUCGCCUGUGACGAAGCGUGAGUGACGGUAAUGGGUAAAGAAGCACCGGCUAACUACGUG